GGUUAUUUAGUUUAAUGAAAAUAUAGGUUUUGUAAAUCUAAGAUAAUGUUUAUUAUUAACCU
rnacentral:tRNA from 1 species